ensembl:lncRNA
GAGAUUAUUUGCGGGUUACUCUUCUGAAGCCUCCAUCGCGGCUGGUCGUAGCUGUAGAAGCCUCCUCCAAGCCAUUCUGCUCACGUUUUAUGACACGGCUUACUUGAUGCGGAGCGCCGACGUGGAGGAGACUAGGGUGCCUUGGUGGUGGGAUCCUUUGCGUGUACACACCUGCCUUGUUUAGUUUAUUAGUGUGAGUGUGUGAUAGUGUGCUGCACUUGUGUCUUGGUAUGUUUUCUUUUUUCAUUUGUGUGUGGCAUCCCUGCCCCUCCACUGGUAAGCCUCAGCUCUGAAUACCUU